rnacentral:lncRNA from 10 species
AUCCCUAUCUGUUCUAGGUACUGUUCUGGAUGCAGGGGCUAAUAUCACUGAGCAAAUCAGAAAAACAUCCCUAUCUUCAUGGAGCUCACAUUCAAGUGCAGAGGGACACAAACAACAAACCAAAUAAGUAAAUUACAGAACAUGUUAGAAGCAUCUCACUCUGCCUCCCAGACUGGACUGCAGUGGCAUGAUCUCGGCUCACUGCACCCUCUGCCUCCCAGGAUCAAGCGAUUCUUCUCCUCAGCCUCCCGAGUAGCUGGGAUUACAGGCAUGCCACUACCAUCCGGCUAUAUCUGUAUUCUUCUUUCUCAUUUAGCGUUAUAUUAUAAAGGAAGCAAUGUGCUAAGGUGCUAAGAGCUCCAAAGUCAAUGAGACAAAUGCAAAUUUCAGCAAUGUCCCUGAUAUGGUUUGGAUCUGUCAAAUUUCAUGUCAAAUUGUAAUUCCCAAUGUUGGAGGCGGGGCCUGGUGAGAGGUGACUGAAUCAUGGGGGUAGAUUUCCUCCUCAGUGCUUCUCUGAGAGUUCUCAAGAGAUCUGGUCAUUUAAAAGUAUGUGGCAUCUGCCCCCAACUCUCUCUCUCCCUCCCACUCCAGCCAUGUGACAUUUGCUCCCUUUCACCUUCUGCCAUGAUUGAAAGUUUCCUGAGGCCUCCCCAGAAGCCAACCAGAUUGCCAGCAUCAUGCCUACUGUACAGCCUGUGGAACCAUUAGCCAAUUAAACCUCUUUUCUUUAUAGCAGUGUAAGAACUCAUUAAUACAGCCCCCAACUUUGUCCUGAGUGAUGUUCAACAAGUUACUUAAUUUUUCAGAACCUCAGCGUCUUCCCCAGCAAACUUUCAGUUGAUGUACUAUACAACCAGCCCCAUCAUUCCUUCCCUUAUAUUGGAGGAUCUCUCUGUGUACCUAUAAAUGCUUUGAACAGAUGGAGUGCUGAGAGGACUUAUUCUGAGCUGAUAAAGAAGGUGAAACAAAAAGACCUCCUGAUUAGCUGAUUAACCAAGUUAAACAAGGUCUGAAUAAACCUCAAUUUAACUAAGGCCUGCUUUAGGUUCCAAAUGGUAGAAUCUCUCAUGUAAUCUCCUAUUUAAAUAAAAAGAUAAGUAUUCUAAUUUUUUCACCUCUAGGAUUGAGAUACAUUGUCUAUAUAUAUUUCCUGUAACAAAGUAUUGGGCUUCUAAACAUGUAUGUGUUGUAAUUUCAUCAAGGUUUCCCCACUCCUCCUUUUGUGCCUUCUCUGUCUUCUUCCUUUCAUAUUUAAAACUGUGAACAUUGCCAAGGGAAGAAAGCAGUUCAAUGUCCUUUCUCCACGGCUGCUGACAGUUUUUAGAAUAAAGUAAUUCUUAUUUCUGACUCAACACUAAUGUGAACUCUGGUUUCCUCCACAGGACUUCCCGCAUCCCCCUUAGUAUGCCCUACUCACUGUGGUUAGAGUUUCCAAAAUGCAAAUUGGAUCAUUUCACUUCCCUGCUUCAACCUCUUCCAAAGCUUCCCACCCUCUUAGGGUAAAACUUAAGGGCCCAGCAAACCUUGGGCCUCACUCCUUCCCCUUCCUGACCUCUAGCCACACUGUGGCCUCGUUUCAGUUCUCUUCUGACACUGGCCUCUUCUAGAAGGCUCCACCAAGCCCCUUCACUUGUCAUCUGUGACUCGUCUUCUGGAUUGCAACUCAAACAGGGCCUGACACUAGUAAUAGCUAAAUAAAUGUGUUUUGAAUCAAUGCAUGAACAAACUGGAUCAUUUUUGUUUUUCCUUUGUAAUUUAUUAUAUUGUUUCAAUCCUUAAAACACUAUCACCUCUUUCCAGUUAGUAUCUACUGUCAGCUCAUUAUUUUGUCCAUUAUUCUUUCAAACUGUGCAAAUUAUACAUAAUGCAAAAUUUACCACUUUAACCAUUUUUAGGUACAAUUCAGUGGCAUUAAGUACAUUCAGUAUGUGAUGAUGAAAAAGUUCUGGUGAUGGAUGGUGGUGCAAAUACCACUGAAACUCUAUACCCAUUAAACAGUAACUCCCCAUUCUUCCUCCCUUCCCUGACAACCACUGUUCUUAUUCUGUCAGCUAAUUUUUUUAUCAGUUGAUUUUUAUAGUUAAUUACUCAUGGGUUUUUUAUUGUUUUAUUUAAAUAACAAUUGCUACUAACAUUUCUGAUUUACUAAGUGUCAUGCUCUGUAUUAGGAGUUACGUCUAUAUUAACUAAUUUAAUCUUCACAACCAUCCUAGGAGGUAGUUAGCUUUACUAAUUUUAUAGAUAAUGAAAUGGGCACCGAAAAUUUAGGUAACUUGCAAAAGAUCACACAGACUGUAAGUAGUGAGGCUAAGAUUCAUGCCCAGUGUCUCCAAGGCCCAUGUUUUCUACCAGUAUUAAGCUGCCUCUAGGACAGUUACUAGAAACCAACUUUUGCCUCAUCAGCAAAAAAUCUUUCCUCUUAGUUUAGUUAUUAGUAUAAUACAUUCUAGCAGUACCUCAUAUUGCUAUUCUGAUAUUUUUGAAAAUUUACAUUUCCAAAUGAAUUGUAUACUAACAAACAAAAUGAAGCUGCUCACUAGCAGCUGACAAAACACAACAAAAAGUAACGCUGGCCAGGCGCAGUGGCUCAUGCCUGUAACCCCAGAACUUUGGGGGGCUGAGGCGGGCGGAUGGUUUGAGGCCAGGAGUUUGAGACCAGCCUGAGCAACAUGGUGAAACCCUGUCUCUAGUAAAAAUACAAAAAUUAGCCAGGUGUGGUGGUGCGUGCCUGUAAUCUCAGCUACUCGGGAGGCUAAGGCACGAGAAUCGCUUGAACCUGGGAAGCAGAGGUUGUAGUCACCCGAGAUCGCGCCACUGCACUCCAGCUUGGGCAAUAGAGCGAGACUCUGUCUCAAAAAAUAAAUAAAUAAAUAAAUAAAUAAAUAAAUAAAAAUAAAAAAUAAAAGGUAACCUUGAUUCAUAAGAGAAAUUUUAUCCAGCUAUUCAAACUGGAUCCUUUGGCCUAGUUAUUAAGAGUAGCUUCGUAAGCUUCUUCAAUAACCAACCUCUCAAAGCCACAAGGCACACUCUUAUUAGAAUAUCAGAAAAGUUUUGUCUAGUGGAAAUAAGAAUGGCCAAGUUCUUAAGACCUUUCUUGAUAACUAGAUGCUAUAAAAAUAAAAGCUGUAAAACGGACUGUAUCUUAACAUAUACCAUCAUAUAUAAAGCUUAUCGAACCUGUAAAUUUUGAAGUGGAGUGGCAAGUAUUUGAUGCUGUUGCUGCUGGAAACAGGCAGGUUGGCCAUAAGGUGUUGACAACUGACAAGCAGGUGGAAAGUCAUUCUUUACAACUGGAGUUCUAAAACUAGGAAAUAUAUAUAUAUUUUUAUUUAAAACAUUACAAUUUAACAAAUAAGUCUGAUUCAGUUUCAUGUAUUUUAGACUGAUAUAAACUUAAAAGUGUUACAUCAAACAGAACCCAAGUUAGUUUUCAUGAUAUAGCUGACACUUAUUCCAGAUAUGCCACCACCGGAUAUUUAAUUUUGGGGAAUUCUUUCUGAAAGUAAAUAUUUGUAUGCAGACAAGAAAUCUUUGUUUGAAAAGAUGGCAUUUAAAAUACAAAGUGGUUAGGGUUAUUUUAUAUGAAUUUAGCAAACAUCAGCUUGUGGCCGGCCAUAGAUUUUGAGUUUUUUUUUAAACAAUAAUGUUCUAUAAUGGCUUGCUAGAAAUAUCAGAAAGCCAAUUACAUCACAGGAGUUUGGCCUUUGAGCUUAAAUCUGUCCAGUAUACAUUUGUGCUUUGUUUGCCUUUUUGCUAUUAAUAUAUCCUCAACACCUAGAACAAUGCUUGGCACAAAAGAGCUCCACAAAUAUUUGUUAACAAUAAUUAACCUAGUAUCACAAGAAAUAUCUAUUAUCGCUAUUUUAGUUAGCAAUCAUUCUUUAGAAUAUUCUACAUAUAAUAAAAUGAGGCAAUAUAUAGUAAAACUAUAUUAAGUAGGUAAGAGGCUGGGUUAUAAAAUCUUUAAGACCAGUUCUAAUUAAGAUCAAGGAUUACAUUAUGAAAAUGAAACGCAAAAGACAACACGGAUUUAAGCUAUCCCCUAAGACAUUAAAGAUAUAGCCACCGGUUGAUGGUUAUAAUGUAUCGCAUCCCUUUAUUUCCUUUCUCUGAAAUGUCAUUCAUUUUCUUUUGUAGUAUCCCUUGUGUUCCCUAUCAGCACACUCAUCAUCGAACUUCUUCACUUAUCCAUCAUUCCUAUUCACUCAAAUACUACACCUUUGAAUACCUCCAGAACUACAUGAACUGUAAAAACCAAUCUCUUCCAGAAGCUAUCACUUUCCAAUUAACACCACUUAUGUGAAAAAAUUCAUCUACUCUUUAUCUGCUCUAAGAAUGCUAACCUUUAAAAUCUCUCUCUUAAUAGAGAGAUAUCUGUAUGGCAAUACAUGAUUAUCAAGACGUUUUACAUCCUUAGAAUAUUUAUAGGUUGUAGGUACAGAUUACGAUAUGACAGAAACUACAUGCACAACAAUCCUUAAAAAUAUGCAUUAUUGCAACCACUUCCCCCUUUCCAUUUUAUAGAUGAAAACACUGAUGCUGAAAAAAUAAUAUGAAGAUGGAAAGUCUUUAAAGUAAAAGAGCAGGAUUUAAUCCCAGAUUUAUUUGGCCCAGAAGCCCAUGUUAAUUCUAUCAUACCACCCUGCCAAUCAAGCAAGGGGCCAAAGUAAUUACCAGCUCAUGUAAUCAUCCAAGGUAUUGCUGCUUGGUGUCUUACAAAUAGAUUUUGGGUCAAACCAUUUAGAUGUUGAUAUUGGUGGUGACUGUUUUGAAACUGAAAAGACAGGUUGCUCAAAAGUGGUAUGUUUCUGCUAAAACAAAAUAAAGAACACCAUGAUUUAGUUUUUAAAUUAGUUGCCUGUUCACUAGUUUUUACAAAUAUUAUAACUUUUAAAAUAAAAUAAUAACAUAUGAUAUACAAAGGCAUACUAAAAGAGAUAGGCAUAUAUAUACAUUUUAGACUUUCAAUAAUUUUUUUAGUGUAGUUAUUUUACUCCAAAUUCUUAAGCCUAGUGCAUUCUGCUCAAACUGAUGGCAAGUACAGGGAAGGCACACAAAAUUACUUAAAACAGAAUUUAACAUUCUCUUCCAUCAGAGCUAUUGUAACAAGUAUUAAAUUCUUAUCAUCUAAAAUAGUAUCCUGUGUUUCUGAAAAUCAGCCUUUCUUUAAUCAAUAAAACUCUAUUCCCUUCUCCUCAAAUGUAGACAAAUACUAAUUACUUAGCAAAAUGUGGAAUGACAAAUGCCUAUCUUGUGUCCUCCAUAAGAAGAGACAGAACCUGUAGAAAUUCUUUUUCCAAAAGCAUUGUUGGGAAAAAAAAAAAAAAAAGAACCUAUAGGAUUCAUCCUAUACAAACCCCAAACAAUGAUGAAGGAACAUCCGCUGCAGCAGAAAUCAGCAAAUUACAGCCUACAGGCUCAGGCUGAAUGUGGCCUGCUGCCUGCCUAUUUUUGUAAACAAAGUUUUAUUAGAAUAUGGCUAUGCCAAUUUGUUUACAUAUUGUCUAUGGCUUUUAUUUUCAUGCUCUAAUGGCAGAGGUGAAAAGCUACAACAGAGCCCAUCUAGCCUGGAAAGCCUGCUAACCCUUUACAUAAAGUUUGCUAACCCCUGCUGUAGCACAUCUCAAUUAAAUAGAGAACCAAGUUUUGCUUGAAUACUUUUAGUAACUAAGCACUCACUAGUCUACAGAGGUUCACUUCAAUUUCAGGACAGCUUUAGUUAUUAGAAAAUAUUUGCAGAUAAUUUGGAUUAUAUUGGUUUAUCUAUUAUAAUUUCAACACACUGGUCCUCAUUACGCACUUGAGAAUUACAAUGACUAAAUCUAUCCUACUUUCUACAUUUCAGUCUUGGCCAAGAAAUUUUUUUUCCAGGAUAAAUUUUCCCUCUCAUUUAAGACUUCGUGUGUCUGUGCUCACGUACAAGCACGCACAUAUUUUAAGAUUAGUGGUAAAGAUGUUACUGAGGAACUGCUGUAAUAAGAUUAAUGAACAAGGAAAAUGAAAAAGAUCACGAUCAUAGAGUGGAAUGUUAGCAUCUGCGAUUUUGGAGGUCAGAAUUGAGGAUAUAAGGAGUAGGUGGCUAAAGUAAAAUUAAGGAAAUGGUCAUGAGACACGAAGAAGUUAGAAAAAUGAAGGCCAGCUGUAGGACUGGUAAUACACAGGGGUGUAGAAGCCAACAAAAACAAUGACAGUUGUUGGGAUCUGGUUGAUCCAGAGCCUUGUAUCUUCAAGGAAUGAUGGGGAGUUACCAGGACAUUCAGAGAUGAGAGUAAGUCAGAAGUAUCAAAAGAGCAGGCCUUUUGCAAGAAAGAGGAAGAAAUGGUCUGGACACAGAACAGAGAGCACACAGCCAUAUGGUAAGUGAGAUGUGAGACAAAAACAAUCCUCCCUUGAAGGGACUGCUGGACAAGCAGUAUCCACAAGAAACUGCCUAGAUUCUAUACUUUUUCUUUCUACGUGUACUAUUCAAUGGUUUUUAGUUGCUCAGUGGUUCACAGCUGUGCAACCAUCACCACAAUCCAAUUUUAGAAUAUUUUCGUCUUCUAAAAAGAAAACUCACACCCAUUAGCAAUCACUCCCCACUCCCCACUGCUCCCAGCCCCUGGCAACCACUAAUCUACUUUCCACCUCUAUGGAUUUGCCUAUUCUGACCAUUUUAUCUAAAUGGGAUCAUAAAAUAUAUGGGCUUUUGUGGUGAGCUUCUUUCACUUAGCACGUUGUAAAUGUUCACUUAUGUUGUAACAUGUACUAGUACUUCAUUACUGUUUAUUGUUGAUUAACAUUCCAUUGUAUGGAUGUACCACAUUUUCUUUAUCCAUUCAUCGGUUGGAUAUUUUGUUAUUUCCACUUUUUGGCAAUUAUGAAAAUGCUGCUAUGAAUAUUUAUGUACAAAUAUUUGUGUGGAUGUAUGUUUUCAAUUCUCUUAACUACAAACCUAGGAGUGGAAUUAUUGGAUCAUAUAAAGCUACGUUUAACCUUUUGAAGAACUCCCAGACUCUUAUCCAAAAUGACUGCACCAUUUUACAUUCCCACUAGCAGCAUAUGAAGGUUCUAAAAUUCUCCACAUCCUUGCCAACACUUGUUAUUGUCUCUUGAAUUACAGCCGUCCUAGUGGGUGUGAAGUAGUAUCUAAUUAUGGUUUUGCUUUGCAUUUCUUUAAUGAUCCAUAUGGUUUUCAGUUCCCUUACAAUCCUAUUAGUGUACAAUUUUCAAAUAGAAAAAAAAGAGGAGAUGCUGGUUUGAUACAAUCUAUGACUCAACCUAUCAGGAUCCUUAUCAUCUAGCAUUUGUUAUCUACAUCUACUACUUAAGAGAUCUUACUAUGACAAUAUUUACCUUUCUCACUUUUAUUUUCUCAUGAGUAUAUAAGGAGUUUUCCAGAGACUGUAUGACAUGUAAUAAUGAAAUACAUUGAAUGCAAAAGCAGAC